rnacentral:lncRNA from 1 species
AUGAAUUUACAUAUUGUGGAUUAUGUUAAAUAGAAAAACAAACUUGAUGACAUAUUGCCAUAUUGUGGAACAUAGUAGAUGAAAAUGUAUGCAUGUUGAUAUACCUUGAGAUAUGAGUUGAUAUAUAUGCAUGUUGAUGUAUUGUGGACUAUGUUAAAUAACAUAUGCAUGUUGAACUUGGAUCUAUAACUUUUGGAAAGUUAGAAAACUCGACGUUGGAAAACAAUGACAUAUGAACUAUGAUAUGUAAUGUAGACAAUCUAUAUAUAUUAGAUCGAGUGGCAUAUGAUUAGUAUAGUGGAAACACUUAUGGCAUGUUGAACACUUAGAAAACAAGUGUGGCACGAGUCCAAGAAUAUAGUAGUGUAUAUGACACAAGUGAUAGUAAAGAAUGUAAAGAAAAGAAUGAUUGAAAAUUAUGACAUUUCAACCCUAGAGUUAGGGUCAUUUGAGCAUAGUCUUCCUAAAGUUAAGGAAUGGAUUGAACUUGACAUCCUCAAGAUUUUGGAUUUGAUCAUCGAUCAUACUCACCUUUAGUCCUUGCUCGAGGUUGUGGUAGCUCCCCCUCGGGCGAUGUGCUCCGGAGUCGACAUCACUGGGUUGUAGCGGUUAUCUCCCCAGAGGACGGUCCCACCGGGUUGUAGCGGGUAUCUCCCCGGUUAAUGGGAUUUUGGGUUGGUGAGUUUGUUGAGGGCGAAACCUUCGGGUUAGCCAAGUGAUUGGGUAAUAAACUUAUGAGCUAUAGUGAUGUCCUAGUUGAGGGGAUUUAAGGCCGAGGUGCAAGUGAGACGUCCUUCGCCUCGGGCCUGGCUUUGUGCGGUACUCCGCAGACGAUUGACUCAAGACCGAGUCGGGCGGUUAGCUUUGUAAAGAUAGAUGAAACUUUAUGAUUAAAAUGGUAAAUGACAUAAAGUCUUAAAUGUCAAUUGGAUGAAAGUAGUAAUCGAUUGAAUUACUAGUUGAUUGUAUAGUCGUAUCAUUGCAUGAUCUUCAUAUCGCAUUCGUGAGGCAAUGCAUGGUUUUAUUCGUUGCAUAAUCAAAAUAUAUAUCUAUCUGUUUAUUGAACUAACUUGCAGUUGCCUCCCUUGGACCUAUUGGUCGAGCUUUUCCCUUGGGUGGCCGUACCCACUGGGAACCAUGGAGUUGGUUCUCACCCCACGUGGUUUUGGGGUGUUACAGGUUCACACGUGAGCGGCGCGGCGGCGCGAGGCGAGGGCGUAGCAUCAUAGUUAGCGCCCUACCACCGAGACGAGAGAUAGCGGUACCCUGAGUCGGCUUUACUUAGGGAAGUAAGAAAAUGAAAGGAAUAAGAUUGUAAUAACCAUGUUAAAUCGGAUUGUAUUUGGAAGUUAAAUGUAAUAAGUAUUUGGGAUGUAAAAUGUAUGAAUGUGAAUGUAUGUAAUAACAUAGGAUGUGUUAUGUUGUUUGAUACCUUCCAUUAUGCAAUCUUUGAUUGAAAUGUGUUCCUGGUUGGAACUUUGUACAUUGUAUUGAUUGCGACGCCUUG